rnacentral:rRNA from 1 species
UGGGGAAUACUGGACAAUGGGGGAAACCCUGAUCCAGCAAUGCCGCGUGAGUGAAGAAGGCCUUAGGGUUGUAAAGCUCUUUCGCCCGCGAAGAUAAUGACGGUAGCGGGAGAAGAAGCCCCGGCUAACUCCGUGCCAGCAGCCGCGGUAAUACGGAGGGGGCUAGCGUUGUUCGGAAUUACUGGGCGUAAAGCGUACGUAGGCGGAUGCGCAAGUUGGGGGUGAGAUCCCGGGGCUUAACCUCGGAAUUGCCCUCAAAACUGCACGUCUUGAGACCGAGAGAGGUAAGGGGAAUUCCUAGUGUAGAGGUGAAAUUCGUAGAUAUUAGGAAGAACACCAGUGGCGAAGGCGCCUUACUGGCUCGGUACUGACGCUGAGGUACGAAAGCGUGGGGAGCAAACA